rnacentral:snRNA from 1 species
GGAUGUGAGGGCCAUCUGGCUGAGACAUCUGUCAUCCUAUUGAUCACCAGAGUUGAUUCCAAGGAUCUGCCUGGGCAGGUGUCCCCCUCCCUCACCAAUCCAUGUGCAUCCCUCCUGAAGCUGUGUGCUCGGUGGAAGAGGACUGCCUUCCCCCCUUGGUCUUCGGUCAAGGGUAUACGAGCAGCUGCACUCCCUUGCUAGAACCUCCAAAUAUGCUCUCAAAUACAAUGACAGGUGUCACUGCCUCCCAGGGCCUGGGCUCCACCAGACCUCACUCUCACCCUGGAGUCCUUGCUGCUGGGGAGCCUCCUUUCCCU